CUUCAUAAUGAUCUCCGAGCCGGAGCAACCUAAAGAGUCAUCCAUGGUUGGUCGGCCAGGGCUGUACGCCCUCGGGGUAUAUCCAGAAAUGGCUAUGCCUUCACGUUUGAGAAGGAGGUGGAUUCCCAAUAUGU
rnacentral:ncRNA from 1 species